CAGACUGCAAGGGUGGCCAUACCACCCAAUGGCCACAGUAGACUCUCAUCUUGCAGACUCCAUUAGCUCCACAAAGCCACACCAUACCAACCCAGUGGCAGAGGGGCAGUGAUGUCACUUCAGAUCCUUCACUUCUGAGGCAGCAUCUACCAUAUAUACCUUUUGUGGAAAACAGAGUAUUUCAGGAAAAGUAACUUUUGUAUAUAAUACAAGAGUUAGUGGAGUACACACUAGGGCCACCUAGCUUUGUGCUGCCUGAAAUGUCCGGGGGUAGGGGACGACUUACAACAUGAAACUGCAAUUUCAGUGUCCCCAAGAUGUCAUUUGGAACCCAUUGAGGCUUGCUCAUUUAUACAUUAUGUAGUUACUUUUGUAUCACAAUCGGAACUAAGUAGCCCCAGGAGAAAACCACAGAGCCUGCAAAGGCAGGGACAUUUACUCUUUUCCUUCAUGUGUAAGAUUUGCUAGCCUGUCUCCCAAUUCCUUUUAUCUUACGCAAGACAUGAGCAUGGAGAGGAGCCAAGGUUUUUCUGCCGUGUCACGGCAUACAGCAAUGAAGGUCUUGUCAGCAGACAAGGCCGAGCCCCGGCAGAGCAGUGCACACAGCCGUUCCUGAGGGAGGCUGUGGACAGCGUGGGGCAGUUCUGAGCUAACAGGCUCUACCUCACUCUGGUUUAUUACUCAUUCUUUGGUAGUUGUUAAGCUGAAAGGUAAUGGCCAUUUAAUCCAAUUCACUUCUGAAAGAACGUUUGUCUUUAUUAAUGUGACUUUUGGUGAAGAUCUUGGUAUUAAUACCAAGUGAGAAACCUUUUUCCAUCUAGAAAUUUCUAUUUGUUCACUGUUAAGAGACUAUACCUGAUAAAGUGUGGGAUCUCAAUGAUCCUAGUUUAUAGGAUCGGAUCAUUAAAAUACCUUAUUUGGAGGACUUAUCAUUUUUGACUGAUAUAGCUCUCCAGCAUUAAUUAUAAAGACUAAAACUGGUACAUAUGUUAUAAUGCUUUAUAAAGAAUUUUACCUGGUCUAAUUUAUUGCAUAUAUCAGCUUUCAUUGAAAAAUUACAGCCAAAAAAAUGUAACUAGGACAGUCCUAGGCAAGGGCCCCAGCAGACAGCUAAUGGCGUCUCCUCCUCCGGUACCUCCUUCCCCGCCUCUCGCUGCAGCCUGAGGAAGCAGUGCAGAGAACUUAAGAGACACUUUGCAUUACGUGUGGGUCCUCCACCGUGCCAGCCCACGCCCACUAUUAUUAGGCAGAAGUGGAAGUCAAGUGGUGUUAGUACGAGGUCACUACAACCAACCCCCACAAGUCUAUGCUGUUAUUUUUCUGUGUCAGCUAAUGGUUUCAAAUGCUUCUCAAGAUGCAAGCUUAAUAUUAAAAGGCAUAUGCAUGUGAAGUCUUUAGUACGUUUAUUGUAUAAAGAAUAAACAAAGUGCAUAUAGAGCGGGCCACAGGUUUGAAGUAAACAGGGACUACGGUAAUGUACAGCAACUAAACAAAUUUAAACCGCAAGAGCACUGUUGGUACUAACUUGAUCCUGAAUUCUUUAGGGGGUGGGGCUCAAAAGGUGAAAAAAAUAUCAAACAAGUAUUAAACAGCAUUAUUAAUAAGUU
rnacentral:lncRNA from 1 species